GACGAACCGUGCGAACGUUGUUCGGAAUCACUGGGCUUAAAGGGCGCGUAGGCGGGCGAUCAAGUCCGGGGUGAAAGCCUCCAGCUUAACUGGAGAAGUGCCUCGGGUACUGAUUGUCUUGAGGAGGGUAGGGGCAUCUGGAACUAGCGGUGGAGCGGUGAAAUGCGUUGAUAUCGCUAGGAACCCCGGUGGCGAAGGCGAGGUGCUGGACCCUUUCUGACGCUGAGGCGCGAAAGCCAGGGGAGCGAACGGG
rnacentral:rRNA from 1 species